CAGCAGAAGCGCCGCGUCAGACACCUUUCUGGUUCUGACCUCCAACUGAUCAAAUACCCCCAGGCCUUCUAUUUCUUCAAAGGCUGUGCUGCGUUUUAAAAUGUAAUGAGCGGGAAAGCCAAUUUUCCGAGUUGAAGAUAGUCACUUGAAGUCAUCGGAUCCCCGCACUGGCUGUUUGCUGUAUGGAACCUGGAGCCC